AGGAAGAAUUGAUGAAGCUGUCACAGAGUAUGGCGAGAACUUUCUGUCUCACCAUAAGCACUUCGUACGGACAAGCACUGUCUGAAUCACCAAAAGAGACGGUGAGAAUCACGACCCGGAAAGUUUGUGGUGGUGUUGUUUUAUGUGGCGUCUUCACCACGUUGCUUCCUUAUUCUCAUCAUCAAGUAUUUGAUCUUCUCCGCAACGAUCAUCAUCGCUCUCAAUGGAGAUGUUGUUUAAUGAGAAUCCGUUUCAAAAAGUUGCUCAUAUUGCAAAUGGAUAACAUCCUGGAAACUGCAUUUCUCUUCUUCACUUCCAUGGGCCGAGUAGCUCAUCGAAUAAUGUAGAGUGGAUGCUUCAAGAAAUAUGCACUGAUAACUCCGGGACUCUCGUGGUUUACUCUACCGCCGACGCCAACGCCGUCCAUCUCGCGAUGAACGGCCAGGAUUCUUCUACAAUUUCUCUUUUGCCCUUAGGGUUCUCUGUUGUUCAUGUGAAUCAACCCCAUGUGUUUGAGGGCAUUUCCGUCAAUUUGGCUUCGUGCUUGCUCACCGUUGCGGUACAGGUCUUGGUGAGCGACUUCACCACCGCAAGUCUCA